GGGAGAGAUGAGGGAGAGAUGAAGGAGAGAUGGAGGAGAGUUGGGGAGAGAUUAGGGAUAGAUGAGGGAGAGAUGAGGGAGAGAUGGAGGAGAGAUGGGGGAGAGAAGGAGGGAGAGAUGAGGGAGAGAUGAAGGAGAGAUGGAGGAGAGAUGGGGAGAGAUGAGGGAUAGGUGGGGACAGAUGGAGGAGAGAUGGAGGAGAGAUGGAGGAGAGAUGGAGGAGAGAUGGGGGAGAGAUAGAUGAGAGAUGCGGUAGAGAUGGGGAGAGAUGGAGGAGAGAUGGAGGUGAGAUGAGGGAGAGAUGGGGGAGAGAUGAGGGAGAGAUGGAGGAGAGAUGGGGAGGGGUGGAGGUGAGAUGAGAUGAGGGAGAGAUGGAGGAGAGAUGAGGGAGAGAUGGAGGAGAGAUGAGGGAGAGAUGGAGGUGAGAUGGAGGUGAGAUGAGGGAGGGAUGGAGGAGAGAUGGGGAGAGAUGAGGGAGAGAUGAGGGAGAGAUGGAGGAGAGAUGAGGGAGAGAUGGAGGUGAGAUGGAGGUGAGAUGUGGGAGAGAUGAG
ensembl:lncRNA